UUGGCCCCUAAUCGGGGUUGCGGACAGUGUCUGGUGGGUAGUUUGACUGGGGCGGUCUCCUCCUAAAGAGUAACGGAGGAGCACGAAGGUUGGCUAAUCCUGGUCGGACAUCAGGAGGUUAGUGCAAUGGCAUAAGCCAGCUUGACUGCGAGCGUGACGGCGCGAGCAGGUGCGAAAGCAGGUCAUAGUGAUCCGGUGGUUCUGAAUGGAAGGGCCAUCGCUCAACGGAUAAAAGGUACUCCGGGGAUAACAGGCUGAUACCGCCCAAGAGUUCAUAUCGACGGCGGUGUUUGGCACCUCGAUGUCGGCUCAUCACAUCCUGGGGCUGAAGUAGGUCCCAAGGGUAUGGCUGUUCGCCAUUUAAAGUGGUACGCGAGCUGGGUUUAGAACGUCGUGAGACAGUUCGGUCCCUAUCUGCCGUGGGCGCUGGAGAACUGAGGGGGGCUGCUCCUAGUACGAGAGGACCGGAGUGGACGCAUCACUGGUGUUCGGGUUGUCAUGCCAAUGGCACUGCCCGGUAGCUAAAUGCGGAAGAGAUAAGUGCUGAAAGCAUCUAAGCACGAAACUUGCCCCGAGAUGAGUUCUCCCUGACUCCCUGAGAGUCCUGAAGGAACGUUG
rnacentral:rRNA from 1 species